rnacentral:rRNA from 1 species
AUUGAACGCUGGCGGCGUGCUUUACACAUGCAAGUCGGACGAGUGGCGAACGGGUGAGUAACGCAUGGGAAAGUGCCGAGUGGAGGGGGAUAACUGCCGGAAAGGGUAGCUAAUACCGCAUACUAUUGGAGGGGCCCAGGUGGGAUUAGCUGGUUGGUGGGGUAAAGGCACACCAAGGCGACGAUCACUAGCGGGUCGGAGAGGAAGACCGGCCAAACUGGACCUGAGACACGGUCCAGACUCUUACGGGAGGCAGCAGGGGGGAAUUUUGCACAAUGGGCGAAAGCCUGAUGCAGCCAUGCCGCGUGUCUGAAGAAGGCCUUCGGGUUGUAAAGGACUUUUGUCGGGGAGGCGGUACCUGAAGAAGAAGCACCGGCUAACUACGUGCCAGCCGCCGCGGUAAUUC